CUUUGUCUGUGUGUAUGUUUCCUUCUCCUGGGGAACAGCUUGUUCUUGCUCCUGGUUAAAAGGUGGCAACUUUCACAUAGAAGUACAGCAGGAAGUAUUUAAGCAAGAUUUAAAAAAGAAAGAAAAAAGAGGCUUGUGCUUUGAGAUUCAGAGAAAAUGGGAGUGCCUUGUGAUCGGGAGACCUGAAGCAGUUUCACCGAGCUAAACUGGCCUCAAGGUUGGCUCAGAGUGGAAAGAGGCUGUCCCAGCAGAGGGACAAGCAGGAUGGAGCAGUCCCAGGCAGAUGAAGCAGGGACUCUAGAUCAACAGAGUCACUGGAAAAGUCUCUCCUGGCCUCCUUGGGAGGCAGUCUCUGGGGCUCAAGAAAGGUUGCUGUACUGGGUUUGUGUGUCAAGUUGAUACCAGCUUGAGUCAUCAGAGAGGAAGGAGCCUAAGCUCCAGCCUCCAGGUUCCUGCUAUUUGAGUUCCUGUCCUGACUUCCUUCAGUGAUGAACAGCAAUGUGGAAGUGUAAGCUGAAUAAACCCUUUCCUCCACCCAGUGGAUGGGCAAUAGCGGUGAUUUGUAAGGUUAAAACUGCCAGAUACCUAAAAGUAAUCAUUAUUAGUCCAUGAGAGGAGAAAUCAUGGAAUCCCUGCCCGCUUCACUUCCUAAAUUCAGAACUAGGAUGCAGGGCUCUCUGUAGUUGGUAAAUUAGUUUUACAGAGUAUUCUGAGUGUUCCUAAUCAGGUGUCCCCAGAAAUGAAAGCAGCUGUCUCAGAACUGAAAACAAAGGAACCUUCAGAGCUAGCAUAGAAGACCGCCAUGGUGAGCGGACAGGCGAACAGGAAGAGACAUCUGCACACAGUAGGUUUGCAGCCGGCGCUGCUAGCCUCUCUAGGGUCAUCUGACUGUUGGUUGCUGGGAUCCCGCUGCCGUGGAAUUUCGUCGUGAAAGCAGAGCACAACGAACAGUUAAUAUUUCGGGUCUGUCCCGCGCCGGCCUCUGGAUGUCACUCAGAAGCCUUAGAGGACCCGCCCGUGGCCCUCCCAAGUCCCCGAGGCCAGGACGGGAGCCAGGCUGAGCCUCCGCUUCUGUGCUGAGACGGCCAGCGAGAGGGAAAGCUGCCACCCGGCCACCGGGUUCCCAGGCUUCCAAGGAGUAUCGGCGGCUGGGUACUGUGGCCACUGCCGCAGCUCAACCUUCCUGCUCCGCGUGGCUGCGGCAGUGGGUGGGUGGGUGGUGGCCUGUGGACCACGGCUGCUCCUAGCAGGGUUAUGGUCCCAAGAAGACCAGCAGAAUCAGGGCAGGGCCUAGCCCAGGGGAGCCGAUGGACCACAAAGGGAGGGGUUUGGAGCGGAGCAGAGCGCACAGUGACAAAGUGAGUUCACGCACGCGCAAGUCAGAUUCACACGCUUGGGCGGAGCCUGCAGACCAUGGGAGGAGCAAAGCAAAGAGACUCAAUUUGCCUGAGCUCGGUGUCACACUCGUCGUCUCCCACAUGGUCUAGCGGUUAGGAUUCCUGGUUUUCACCCAGGCGGCCCGGGUUCGACUCCCGGUGUGGGAACGCCAGUAUCUUUUAUAAUUAAAACACUAAGUUUACUCUGGCCUGACCCAAGCGAGAGUUUUUAGAUGAACUGGAUUUCUAUCUCUUUCUUUGAGUGGUCAUAGCAGCACAGAAAGGUUGCAGAGAUCAAAAUAUGUCAGGGGAGACUGGUGGCAAUAAGAGAGAAACCAGCGUAGGGACCCAAGCAAAGAAAUCCUGAACUUUGAAAGAAAAGCUGCAACUUCAGGGUGUCUGAGAGCUCGUUUCGCUGAUGUUCAGAGGGGAGAGGAAAGAAAAAUAAGUUUUCAGAAAUAUUCAGCGGCGAGGCGAUACCGGCAACAGAAAAGGCACAGUUUCCUCGUAUUUGACGCAGUCUGUUUAAACUGAAUGAAUGAAUUGCAUGAAUACAUAAAUGAGUGAGUGAAACCUUCUAGACUACAGUC